CAAUCAAUAAAAUAAAAUUCUUUGUUAUAUAUAGAAUAAAUAAACUAUAUAGAUUUGAGGAAGAUAAUUCUUUUAGAACAAAAUUGAGGAAAUAAGCAAUAAGAAAAUUUAUAUAAAUCAUAAGCAUUGUUAUUGUAUUAUCGUCAAAAAGUAUUAAAAAUCUAUUUGUUAUUCCGAUAGAGGAGGCAAUUAACUUCUUAAAGACUUGAAAUAAUAUUGUUUUGAUGUCACUAAUGUUUUUUAAAAGAAAACCGUUUUCGCUAAAUUAUUAGUGUGCAGAAAAUAUCUUUUAUUUUAUUUGCUGAAUCUCUUUGGUGAUGUAAUUUAUUUAGAACUAAUAUUAAGAAAAUAAAAUAUUAAAAAUAAAGCUUAAAUUUAAAAAUGAGUAAUAAAGCUUUAGGAUACUGAGAAUUAUAUCAUGGGAUUCAGUAGUCCAUUUAAAUAUGCCAAAAGCAGAGAGUUACCAAUAAUAUAAUCUUAAUUUCGUAUUCAUGGUUUAUAUAUUUUUCAAGGAAUCUCUAAAUAUAUUCAUCAAAGUAACUUUUUAUUGUACUCUCUCAAAAAAAACUAAAUUUUAUUGUAAAUCAAAAUGUUUUGAAGCCUUUUAUGAAAAAAAUGGUUAAGAAUUUGUUUCUAGUCGUAUAAUUCUCAUCAAAUAAAAUAAUUAAAAAGGAAUAUUGAGCAUUUGUUUGAGUUGAGUUGAGUGUUUACUACCCUCUUAAGAAAAUCAUUGAGGGAGAAAUAUAGAUAGGAUAAUUCUUUCAAAUAGCCAUUUUUUUAAUUUUUGUCACAAAAAAAUAGCUUUCGAAAAAAGAAAAUGAUCAACAUAGCCCAUUUUUAUUUUGAAAAUUUUAAUAUUUACUUUUUGUUUUUUAAAAUUUUAAACCAUAUCCCCAAACCUGCACUAUUUAACUCUAAACCCUAAAUUUAGAUUAGUCAACCCUAGAAAUACAUUUUUAUCUUUUAAUAAAAUUUAUUUUGAUCAUUUUCUUCGCUGAGGAUUAUUUUUGUGAUAAAAACUUUAAAAUGGUAUCUUAAAAAAUUUCUCGUAUAGAUAUAUCAACUUGCAGUUGCUCAAAAAAAAAAUAUCAACUUGCCACGUUUUCCCGAAUGAUUGACUUGAAAUUUAUAACACAUGAUGCAUACUUUUCUUUUAAAAUGGCCAAGCUUCGUAUUAGAAAAAAAAACGACUUUCUUAUUUUGACAUUGGGAAACAAAAUCACCGGCCCACUGUCCGCGUUUGCUGUUGACUGCAAACUAAAUCAACGGAACUUUACAAGUUAAGAAACAACAAUCAUUUUAGAGUGAACGCUGCAGCUAUAUGAAAAGUUUGCAUGUUGCAAGGAACGGAGACUGGGAUCAAUCGCAGAUCGCAGAUUAUUGUUAAAGCUUCAGCCAUCAACGCUGAGCUUACAUGAUCCGAUGCAAGCAACCCUUGAUGAUCCAUGGAGGUUGCAUGAUCCCUAAAAAUCCCAGACAGUCCAGCCUGAUUGGAGGCUAUAUCCCACGCUGCAUCUGUGAAGCACAAGAUAAGAUCUGAGAUUUAUGUUUCUUGCCUCCGUUGAUUAAUCCUUCUUUUAGCUGGUUGUGGUUGUUUGACUAUAUAUGUUUCUUUGUGCUGCUGUGCAUGAAUCCAUUCUCUUGCUGUUUUGAGCGCUCUCGAUGCCACUUCUGCCUAUGAGCUGAGUUUCUUCUCUUUUUUUUGGAGAAUAAUGUCCGGAAGUAUAAAGUAGCAUACUACCGAAGAAGAAAGGGAAAAGAGAUAGCAGAGGAGGAUGACGUGGCAAGUACGGUUGCUGAUUCAAAUGAAGAGGGUGGAAGCGGAGCUUCUGUCUGAGAGAGAGAGUUUGCAGUUAGCUCAAGUGAGAGUGAAGUGAGCUAUAUAAAGGAUGAGGAGAUUGAGUAGAAAGUUUAUGCUUGAUGUUGUUUGUAAUUGACGUUAUGAGUCUUUACACCUCAGUCGUUAUGAGACUGAUGAAUCUGAUCUGAGUUCGUUAUGAGAGCUUCGAUCGAUUCAUACUCGAGCUGUACUUUCCAUUCAUAUUGAUAAUAAAGAGUGUUUACGUUGUUA